UUGUUCAGUUUCACUAUAACAGCGUUAUACUCCGCCUCAUUCUGAAUGCUAGCCAAAUGACCGCCAAGCUCUUGGCAUCUGUAUUUGGAUGCAAACCAAUUC